rnacentral:tRNA from 1 species
CCUCUCAUAGUUUAGUGGUAGAGCAAUGGUUUGUAAAGCCAGAGACCCAGGUUCGAUUCUCGGCGAGGA